CAAAUCCCUCAACCCCCACCCAAUUUCUACAUCCACCGCCGCCAUGCUCGAGCUCUCUGUCCGCCGCCGACGCUACUCUCUGCGGCCGGCUGCGUGCUCUCCAGCCAGUGAGGACGCAACCCCUUCCCCAUCUCCCUCACUUACUUCAGCCUGCGCACCACUGAGCCCACUCCACACUGCCGCAGCUAGGCUCGAGCUCUCUCUCUGCUGCGCUCGCUCGGCCUCCACCUGCAGGGGCUCUCACUGCCGCCACGGGCUCGAGCAGCCUCCGCCGUGAGGCUCUCUCCGUGUUGCUACGCGCUCGAGCACCCUCCGCCUCCAGGUGCUCUCUUCUAUCCUGCUUAUCCCCCUCCCCCGUCGCUCACCACACCACCCUAUAUGCAUAGGUGGUCCCGCCGUUGCCGUCCACAGCCUGCCGACGAAUGCCCUUUUCUUCUGCGCCCAAGCUCAGCCAUCGCCCCUAUGUGCCGCCGGCCAAGAAGGUUUAUAUUAUGUGUGGAUUUGGAAGCUAUUUCUACGUUUACUGUGUGAUUUGAGAAGAAAACUAUGGCCCCAUGCCUUGCUACCAUGAUGCUUGACUGUACGGCACGCCCCAUUGACAUGCGAUUCAUAUCUGCUGGGAUUUUGAAUUGAAUAGGUGUGAAAUAUCUGGUAGCUAUAUGGAUCCAUUGGCUCUAAAAACUGUUGCCCCAAUGUCUACAAUUUGGGGUCAUGUAGGUAUGAUAUAAAUCUUAGAUUUUGUUGGUUCCGUAGUCGCAAUUCAUUGGUUUAUUAAUGGCUUCAUGUAUGAAGGUGAGGCGUCACUCCUUCAUCAGGUUAUAUGUCAACCUGAAAAUCAUCUAGGCUACAGGAUAGUUCCCCAAGAGCCCCAAUUGCAAGUACAUAUAAUAAAACACUACUCUGUAACUAUAUAAGCAAGGCAUGAUUAGAAAAUUAUUUGCAAAAGUGAGGCUGCACAUGCUUGCAAUUGCUUAUUUCGAGCUCGAGCUUUUAGUUUAUAAUGAUGUGACCACAUGCUUGUGUUUCUUUUCAUGUUUAUUAAUCUGACGGAACUAUAUGAUGCUAAUGAUGGUUGCAGUACUUUAACCUGAAGAGCAUCCUAUUUAUGCCCUGCUUCCCGGAUAUUUUAAAUAUCAGAAUGUUAUGAACAAAUGAAAUCAAACUAUUUGUUAUAAGUUGUAACAUUGGUGGUUUCAUGUCUCCGUUGUUCGCACGGGGCGACCUCAUAGUUUUCUGAGCAAGAAACAUGAUCCAGACAAGAAAAAGUCAAUUUCAUCCAUUGGGACUAAAGUUGGCAAAAGUAACUAGAAGUGAUCAUUUUUUCUGGGUACUAGCUCAUUUGUAGUAGAACACGAUCUAUAUUGUUGGUUUUUGAUGUUUGUUGGCAGUCAUAAAAAUGUCACUACAUAAUUAGGUCAAAUUAUAGAAACCUGAAAUUAUUGUGCACAUAGACAUAAUAUUGACCUGAUGUUGCGGUAACAGCAAGCAAACAAACUGUUGGAUUUAUGUCUUGUUGUAGAGGAAUCUAUUAUUGCUCUGUUUUGCACAAUGGUGAAAAUUUAACCACCAGUAUUUUCAAUCCAUAUAUUGAGCUAGGUGUUCACCCUUCGCCGACAUAUUCAUAGAUUUUUUAUGUACUUUGUUUAUUACAAACAUUUAUAUAAACAUAUAAUAUAUUAUAUAUUUAUAUUAAGGACUCCUAGGUUCUAGUUAUUGUACACCUUCUGCUCAAUAUUUUACAGAGUAAUAAAGCAUGGAUGACAAAUUUUGUUGAUCUAGGUUGUCAUAAUUAAUUUGCUUAGUGGAUUUUCAUAAGUAAUUCACAUGCUAUAACUUGGAGGACAGAACUUAGCCAUGCACUAUGCAUGUUAACUAUGAUGGUACUUUGGGAAAAUGGCACACGAUUAGACUGACUUUAUAUGUAAUUGGUGUUAGAAAUGUACUCCCUCCGUCCGGAAAUACUUGUAAGAAAAAUGGAUGUAUCUAGAACUAAAGUACGUCUAGAUACAUCCAUUUCUCCGACAAGUAUUUCCGGAUGGAGGGAGUAUUUUGUAAGCAGAUAAGAUCAAUAUGCUCAACAUGCUACCAAUUCUAACGUGUGGUCGUACUUUGAUAUUCCAAAAACAAAAUCAUAUCAUUUUGUAGCUUUCCCCCUCCCCCUUCUGAAAUUUCUUUGAAGCUCCACCACUGCUUGUCACCAUAGGUUACACUCUUGAGUGUUGUUCUGGUUUUGAAAAAUUGGGAACCUAGAGAGGCUAGACAUUGUGCAAUGUAAUUGCUAAUUUGUUCUCUGAGAAGUUUCAGCGGAGGCUUGCUGAGCAGUUCCAGAAGUAGAUGUCUGGUGCUGAGGCUGGCGCCAGCAUUGGUGCUGCCCAGGAUGAUGACGAUGACGUUGUAGAGCUCGUCCCUGGAAAGACAUUCAAGAAGCUGCGGAGGAGAAGAUAGAACCUGAAGUGAAGGAACCAAAGAUGCAGAAUAAGAAAGAUUGUCGUAAUUCAUUAUUGUGAAGGGUUGCUUGUUAGUUUUGGUUUGACUGGCAUCUACCGUGCCAUAGACAAACUCUUGUCAGAACUCUGGCCUACCUUUCAUUUCUAGCCCUCUGGUUGAAGCAGUAAAGUUCUUUUAUGUUGACUUGCAUCAUUAUUGGUUUGAGUUUUCUAAAAAGUAUAUUCAUGAAUCAGUUUCACAAUUCUAUUGAACCAUGUAAGCUAUGAACUAUAUACAUUAUCUGAGACAAUGUUUAGAUGAAGAGAAUAACCAAAAUAUUGUGUAUACCAUCACCAAGUAACAAGAGAAGAUAGACCAACAUUGAUUGUUACUAGUCAAUGUACAGAGCUAUAUAGCGAUAUACUUCUACUGGUUGCUUUUUAUUAAAAUUUAGUUGUUUGACACCCAUCUCCCCCAACUAACUUUCAGUGACCAGGUGCCUAUCCAUGGCAGCAACGACAUCGGUAAGAUCUCAAUCUCUCACUUGGCUUCUCCCUCCCCUCCCCCUCUCUCUGUGCUGCAGUGUGCAGAUUUGAACUAGGGCAUAAGUUUAAUAAUAUCUUUAAAAAAACCUAUGCUGCUUUGCUUCAUGGAAAUAGAGAAGCCCUUGAAGCAGUAAACUUCUUUAUGUGCAGCAGUUAAUUAAGCUUCAUUAUUGUUUUGUAAUUUUCUAAAAAGUACUUUCAUGAACUGGUUACACAUGUUUUUUCUUUUGAUAGCAGGCUUGGCAUAAAGUUUUGUUUUCUGUUGUUUUUCAGUGAAUGAUUUGGAAAAUGUAGUAGCAUGGUGGACAAAGGUCACAAACAGAUCUUGACUUCAAAGUUACAUUCAAAUAUGUCACUUUCUUUGCAUUCAAGAGGAUUUGGAGCCUCGGUUUGUUGGUGAAGUAAUGUUUGAAGGAGAUAUUAAAUUGUUGUUUGUGAUAGCAAGUGACUUGCCUAUAGCAGAGGACUUUGAGCAUGUCACCGAUUUGCAAAUAUUGAAGGCUCCACCUAUCCCCAUGGGAAUGGACUGAAGAGCGGUAUCCCCCAUGUCCUGAAGAGAAUUGUCCUUUCAUUUAGCAAAUGCUUUCUCUGCUAGAUUUGUUACUCCUUUCAAGUAUCCUAGGAUAUAGCAAAAGAAGUUACAGGAAACACAAAAGAGGGGAGCUAAAGCUACCAAUUUCCCCAUAAGUGAUAAUGAAUUCUCUUUAGUUGCUUUGGUAUGAAAUGAUACUGAAGGCAGCUUCAAGAAAAUAUCACGUUGUCCAGUUAUCGUGCGGAAAUAUUAACCAGGGAUUUUGACUUGCAGAUUUUCAAACUGGAGGAUGUUCUCCAAUGAUAUUUAGAAGGAAGGCUUUGAUGUCAAGUACUAGAAGGACACAAGGAUCUUGGUUGAAGGCUGUGAGGAUGUGUAUUUAGUUGCCCACUAUAAGGAGCCAAGGCAGAUGAUGUGCCUCUUAAGACAAAUUCUAGAAAAUAAUGUGAGGAAUUUUUGCUCUUAGGCAAUGAACAAUAAUGUUUACUCU